CAGAUUCUUCUUCUUUUUGUUC
rnacentral:sRNA from 1 species